rnacentral:rRNA from 1 species
UUCUGACCGUAAACGAUGCCAACUAGCGAUCCGCCGGYGGCUCUAAGGCCCUGGUGGGGAGCUUCCCGGAAACGAAAGUCUUCCGGUUCCGGGGGAAGUAUGGUUGCAAAGCUGAAACUUAAAGGAAUUGACGGAAGGGCACCACCAGGAGUGGAGCCUGCGGCUUAAUUUGACUCAACACGGGGAAACUCACCCGGCCCGGACACCGUGAGGAUUGACAGAUUGAUAGCUUUUUCAUGAUUCGGUGGUUGGUGGUGCAUGGCCGUUCUUAGUUCGUGGAUCGAUUUGUCUGGUUUAUUCCGAUAACGAGCGAGACUCCAGCCUGCUAACUAGUGCGAGCAUUACCGCUGUGCUCGUCUCACUUCUUAGAGGGAUUGGCUGCGUCUAGCGGCACGAAACGGAGCAAUAACAGGUCUGUGAUGCCCUUAGAUGUCCGGGGCUGCACGCGCGCUACACUGGCAAAGGCAGCGUGCUUGUCCGCCUCCGAAAGGAGCCGGUAAACCCUUGAAAAUUUGCCGUGAUUGGGAUCGGAAAUUGCAAUUAUUUUCCGUGAACGAGGAAUUCCUAGUAAGUGCGAGUCAUCAGCUCGCGUUG